GCGUGCCUAAUACAUGCAAGUCGAACGCUUCUUUCCUCCCGAGUGCUUGCACUCAAUUGGAAAGAGGAGUGGCGGACGGGUGAGUAACACGUGGGUAACCUACCCAUCAGAGGGGGAUAACACUUGGAAACAGGUGCUAAUACCGCAUAACAGUUUAUGCCGCAUGGCAUAAGAGUGAAAGGCGCUUUCGGGUGUCGCUGAUGGAUGGACCCGCGGUGCAUUAGCUAGUUGGUGAGGUAACGGCUCACCAAGGCCACGAUGCAUAGCCGACCUGAGAGGGUGAUCGGCCACACUGGGACUGAGACACGGCCCAGACUCCUACGGGAGGCAGCAGUAGGGAAUCUUCGGCAAUGGACGAAAGUCUGACCGAGCAACGCCGCGUGAGUGAAGAAGGUUUUCGGAUCGUAAAACUCUGUUGUUAGAGAAGAACAAGGACGUUAGUAACUGAACGUCCCCUGACGGUAUCUAACCAGAAAGCCACGGCUAACUACGUGCCAGCAGCCGCGGUAAUACGUAGGUGGCAAGCGUUGUCCGGAUUUAUUGGGCGUAAAGCGAGCGCAGGCGGUUUCUUAAGUCUGAUGUGAAAGCCCCCGGCUCAACCGGGGAGGGUCAUUGGAAACUGGGAGACUUGAGUGCAGAAGAGGAGAGUGGAAUUCCAUGUGUAGCGGUGAAAUGCGUAGAUAUAUGGAGGAACACCAGUGGCGAAGGCGGCUCUCUGGUCUGUAACUGACGCUGAGGCUCGAAAGCGUGGGGAGCAAACAGG
rnacentral:rRNA from 1 species